rnacentral:rRNA from 1 species
AUUGAACGCUGGCGGCAUGCUUUACACAUGCAAGUCGAACGGCAGCGCGGGCUUCGGCCUGGCGGCGAGUGGCGAACGGGUGAGUAAUGCAUUGGAACGUGCCCAGUAGUGGGGGAUAGCCCGGCGAAAGCCGGAUUAAUACCGCAUACGACCUGAGGGUGAAAGCGGGGGACCGAAAGGCCUCGCGCUAUUGGAGCGGCCGAUGUCGGAUUAGCUAGUUGGUGGGGUAAAGGCUUACCAAGGCGACGAUCCGUAGCUGGUCUGAGAGGACGACCAGCCACACUGGGACUGAGACACGGCCCAGACUCCUACGGGAUGCAGCAGUGGGGAAUUUUGGACAAUGGGGGCAACCCUGAUCCAGCCAUGCCGCGUGCGGGAAGAAGGCCUUCGGGUUGUAAACCGCUUUUGUUCGGGAAGAAAUCCUCUGGGCUAAUACCCCGGGGGGAUGACGGUACCGGAAGAAUAAGCACCGGCUAACUACGUG